GUCGCCUUGUGCAGAAUUCCAUCUCUGUGAUCACAUCAAUGGUGGCUAUAUGGGGAAGUACUACUUGUGAUGCUUUGCGACCCUGUUCCUGAGAGCCACCGCCGCGAAGUCCUCCUCCUGCCUCUGCUCGAGCAUGGCCUUCGACAUGGGGUAUUGCCGGAGCUGGAGGGUGGUCAAUGCAUUGGGUGCGUGGAGGACUACAUGCUCCGAGGCCAAUACAGCAGGUAUCUUGACACCGUCAUCGACCAGAUCUUUAUCUACCUUAAUGGGAUCGUCACGACCGACGACGGCAUGGAUGCGUGGAUCGUCGAAGUCGACGGCACCUGCUUGUUCAACCUUGUAUGCUACAAGGACAAACACUUUGGCGGAGACUCGUUUGAUCCCUUGGCGCUCAAGAUCUGGGCUCUGAGAGUGGUUCGUCCCGCGAUUCAAAGUCUUCCUUGUCACAGGAAGAUGAUAUGAAGAGGUGUGCGGUCCAUCAAAGUUGGGGAAUUGCUUGUGCAGGGGUUCAUAGGACAUGAGAGGUUGAGCAUGAGGUAAUGCAUGGAUUAUUAAUCUUCAAUGCAAAACACAUCGUGCACUCGAUCUACUGAGUGAACAGCUAAAAUGACUGUUUAUAAGAGGACACUGAACUAAUUCCAAAUCUUUAGUCCUUUGUUCUUGUUCUUUAACCUUGAUCUGUAUUAAUGCACAUACCGAUAUCUGUAUUUUAUGCAGCGAAUAGGAUUGGAUCAUAAGAUCAUAGUAUUAAUAAUAUGUCUAUGAGCUGGGCUAGCUGACAUUGUUAUUAUUAUUAUUAUUAUUAUUUAUUAUUAUUAUUUGAUUA